rnacentral:rRNA from 1 species
UACGUAGGGGGCUAGCGUUGUCCGGAUUUAUUGGGCGUAAAGAGCGUGUAGGCGGCCACUUAAGUCCUGCGUGAAAUCUUGCGGCUCAACCGCAAGCGGUCGUGGGAAACUGGGUGGCUAGAGUGCGGGAGAGGAGAGUGGAAUUCCUGGUGUAGCGGUGGAAUGCGCAGAUAUCAGGAGGAACACCAAUAGCGAAGGCAGCUCGCUGGGACGUUACUGACACUGAGGCGCGAAAGCGUGGGGAGCGAACAGG